GAGGGUCCCUGGUCCGUCCUCAAAGGAAAACAAAAAGCUGUGGCUCUUGGGAGAAGCACCCCGAUUUUGAGAAUUUCAGGCCCAUUAAGAACUGCUUUAUCCGCCCUUGGGGAGGGGCCUGGCGGAUGCCUCCUUAGCCGGAGCUUGGAACAGACUCACGGCCAGCGAAGUGAGUUCAAUGGCUGAGGUGAGGUACCCUCCACCGGGGCCUCAUAACCCAAUUC
rnacentral:lncRNA from 1 species